CAAAAGAGACGAAGUCAUAAAAACACAGAGACCGUUUCAAUUAGUAGCAUAAGUACAGUAAAUAAAUCCUCCCUAGGGUUAAUGACUGACGUAGUCCGCUGGUUAGACAUUUCUAUACCUCGCACCUCUUAUUCUUUACGGAACCACACGACAGUCCCGUGUGAUCUUCACACUUCAGUGACUGUACGGUAAGAAGUUUGGGACUAGAAUAAUAAAGACCAAGUUCUCUACCAAGAAAAGGUGAAACCCUAGAUUCUACACUGGGGGUUUGGGGUUUACCAGUACCACUUCGUACUGAGUACAUACAAUAGAUUACCGAUGACGUUAGAUUUACGAGGAAAAUUAACGUUAGUAGUUUAUAAGCAUUGUUAUAUCGUAGAAAUUGACUUAAGCAUCGUUAUAUCGUAGAAAUGUACAAUCUAGAAGACCAAAACAGUUUCUUCUCGUGUCAGGGUGAGCUUCCUUAGCCUAUUCCAGAACUCGUUUCCCUCGAAGCUGCUCGUAGUGUAGUCAAGACAUAGACUUUCUACUGGAGAGGUAACGAUGAAGACCUCACGCUCGACAACCACAAACAGCACAAUCCUUCUACCCACAUAUUGAGCACCUAGAACCCCUGUUCGCCUACCUAGAACCCAGAACCCCUGUUCGCCUACCACAAGCAGCACAAUCCUUCUACCCACAUAUUGAGCACCUCACGCUCGACAACGCACCGCUGUGAGCUGACGUAAGCAACUAGACUGACAGACAGUAGCACGUCCACAGCUUAACAACUACCUCCGAAGUCCAGCAGGAAGAGUUCCUCUACUCCGACCGGUAAUUCCUAGACCCCACUUCCAGUACAGUAGAGAAGAGCACCGAGAUGACGGGUGACGAAGGUGACGACUAUAAAACUCGAGAAACUAGUCUCGUUCGUGGUACCCUUCCUUUCUACAACCCCCGCACUUGACAGGGCUGUUGCUGUAACAACGGACGACUGAUACACGUCCUGAUGGACCGAGCUGGAGAUAGAGUUACAGUCUUUUAAUCCUUGGACUUCCCUUUUACCUUCCGCGGAAACUACCUGUAAGUCGGGCCUCAUGUUCCUACUAGGGAUGUAGAUAUGAAAACUAUACGACUUCGUGUAACCGUAACUCGAUUCCGUCCUGUGGUCUGAGAUUUGUACCCAGUUCGACCUCGCUGAGUUCUACGUCGAACUGAAGACCAUGUGAUAUACUCACUAAGUUUAAACGAGUUCCACUUGUUAUCGACCGUACCUCGGUUGGCCUCCUUCCUGAGAACUAAGAUUUCAAAUGUUAGGAGGGUUGUUGGUCAAGAACGGUGCCUGUGACUUACAACACUGCAGUUAAACCUUCGGUGCCCUACCUAGGGAAAGUCUCGCUAGAUCUGCGGGAGCUACGGAGCUGUUGAAGUGCUCACAGACUUCACAUUUGACUGUAGUAUGAAUAUUGACCAUCCUCCUCUGUCCAUUCUAGUCAGUGGUCACUACCUCAGUACUCAAACAACUGCAGCACGAUUUGCAACCACAUCCCGGUUUCCUCUUCUGUACCACGUUUUAAGAACUCGAACUGUAAUACGACCUACACCCACGGUCCCGGCGGUGGUUCCUACAUCCCCAGCGCGGUGUUACCCGCUCCUACGUAACCAGUACGGCUUUGACUGCUCCUGUGCACUCGGCGUGAGGUCGGAAUCACAAAAAGGAUUAAAGAAAUCCAUGCGCUCCAACUAAAUUAUAAGUGUACAUACGACUUUAAUACUGUGGUUUCUUGGUCGUUACCUCAAUAUACUUUAAAGAGGGCUCUCGAUAUGAUGGUAAGAAAAAUCAUAACUGAUUAAGGGUACUCAACGGGGUUUUAACAUUUAUACUUAAACCUACUAAGUAACCAGGAGUAAUUUUAUCGUCGUACUUUAUUG
rnacentral:rRNA from 1 species